rnacentral:rRNA from 1 species
AUUGCACGCUGGCGGCAGGCCUAACACAUGCAAGUAGAGCGGAGCGGCGGACGGGUGAGUAAUGCCUAGGAAUCUGCCUGGUCGUGGGGGAUAACGUCCGGAAACGGGCGCUAAUACCGCAUACUCUCAGAUGAGCCUAGGUCGGUAUAGCUAGUUGGGGGGGAAAAGGCCUACCAAGGCGAGGAUCCGGAACUGGUCUGAGAGGAUGAGCAGUCACACUGGAACUAAGAUACGGUCCGGACUCCUACGGGAGGCAGCAGUGGGGAAUAUUGGACAAUGGGCGAAGUCCUGAUCCAGCACUGCCGCGUGUGUGAAGAAGGUCUUCGGAUUGUAAAGCACUUUAAGUUGGGAGGCGUUACCAACAGAAUAAGCACCGGCUAACUUCGUGCCAGCAGCCGCGGUAAUAC